UAAAUCUGCGGAUUUAAUUUAAAUAUUAGAACAACAAACGAAUUAAAUCUACGGAUUUAAUUUAGAUUCAUUUUAUAACUUAUCGAUUUUAGCAAGAAAUCACAUGACGAAAUACGAGAUUUAUGUAAAUAUACAGUAUCAAGCAGAAUCGAAGCCAGUAUUUUAUUACAGUUACAGAAUCACCGAGACUUAGAUAAUACAUCAUUAAUCCUUCUCUACAUUUUUUUUUCUUUCUUUUUCUUUCCACCAACCUUUGCUCCCCAUUUCUACCACCACUACCACCACUACACUUUGCUUUCCACUCCACCAACUAUCCCCACCACUACACUCAAUUAUGCAACGUAAAUCAAUGCUAAUCAGCCUCCAAUUCACUAUCCUCCUCAUUCUGCACUUGGAAGCUUUUGGAGGAGGAGAAAUCCUCAUCCAGUGUCCUGCCAACUUCAAGAUUCAAUCAUUUGAUACCAGUUAACACUUGAAAGAGGGAGAGAUAGAGCAGUUCAAAUUUUGCCAAACUUCAACAAGAUCCAAUCAGCUUAUUUAACUCAGCAACAACAACAAACCUCUAAUCAUUUUCUAGAAUAGCAUUUACGAGAACUCACGACCACAAAAACUAGGACUUUUAUUCGAAUGGAGAUGAGUUACUUAGCUUUGGGAAAAAUGGGCCGACUGCCCAAGCAACUGCCGAGCCCCAACUGCCGGAACGGAGUGAGAAGGCGGCGAACUCUCGUUGUCCAGCCUGCAUCAGAGUAACCACGACGCCGGCCGGAGAAAGAGAAGGGCGACUGCCCCUUGGCGGUGGCAGCCUCUGGAUUGCUACCUGCCGGACGAACACAGGGAGGGGAGCACGGAGACCUCGCCGAUUCUAGAACCCGGCGGCGGCGGCAAGGUGCUAGCGAGAUUUGAAGGCGACAGCUACGGCGUUAACAAGCUAGAGGGGAAGAGGCUGACCGACUCCAGAAAUCGGAGCAACGCCAGCUUGAGGCGACAACGUCGCCGAAGAUUCCAGUAGCAGCAGCUCCGGACAGCGGCGAUGGCUCCAGGCGGCGGCGCUCUCUGAUUUGGGGAGGAAAUCAGGGCUCCCUUUCGUUUUGCUUUCGUCCGUGAAUCGAGAGGGAGAAUAGAGAUGUGAGAAGGUGAAGGCGGCGGCUGGCUCGUCGGAUUACGGCGGCGGUGGCGGACCCCUCGCCGGAAACAGAUCGAGAGAGAGAUGUUCCGAUUUUGAGGAAAGAAAGAAGAGAGCUGUGUUGACUGUUGAGCCGAUUUGGGAGAAGGAACGACCGCCGCUCAUCGAAAGUUCAGGGAGACGGCGGUGAUUUCCGAUUUGGGAGAGCAGGGGCUCGUGCCGGCGACGAGAAGGCGCCGGAGCCGGCUGGAGGCUGAGAACGAGAGAGAGAAAAGAGAGAGGGAGCCGAUUUUGAGAGUAUAGAGAGAGAGAUCGAUUU